rfam:Felis catus isolate Cinnamon breed Abyssinian chromosome A1, whole genome shotgun sequence.
AAAAUGGAUUUUUUAAAAUCCACAAACACUGGAUACAGCAUAGUCU